CCCUUAGAUGUUCUGGGCCGCACGCGCGCUACACUGAUGCAUUCAACGAGUCUAAAACCUGCUCUGAUAGGGGUGGGUAAUCUUUUGAAUGUGCAUCGUGAUUGGGAUAGAUGAUUGCAAUUUUUCAUCUUCAACGAGGAAUGCCUAGUAAACGCAAGUCAUCAGCUUGCGUUGAUUACGUCCCUGCCCUUUGUACACACCGCCCGUCGCUCCUACCGAUUGAAUGAUCCGAUGAAUAUCAUGGAUUGAGGAUGCAAGUAGGUUCGCCUAUCUUCAUCUUCGAGAAGUGAAGUAAAUCUUAUCAUUUAGAGGAAGGAGAAGUCGUAACA
rnacentral:rRNA from 1 species